rnacentral:rRNA from 1 species
UUGACCUCGGAUCAGGUAGGGAUACCCGCUGAACUUAAGCAUAUCAAUAAGCGGAGGAAAAGAAACCAACAGGGAUUGCCUUAGUAACGGCGAGUGAA